CUUCAGCUCACGUCUCUCUAGGAGUUUCUGUGUGAUCCGAUUAUUGUGCUUUUAUUAAAUCAUUGUGGAGAUAUCUCAGGAUUCUCAACACAAAGACAUCACAGACAGCUAAUGCGGAUAUUUCUAAACUUCAUCGAUUCUGCUUUCACGGUCACUAUAAGAUACAAUAAUGCCUGACAUAACCAAUCAAACCAUACAGAACAUCAAACAUCAGAUAAUAGACCCACAACAAACCAACAAGAAAAUAUCUCUGAAGUAUAUUCACUGGGAAAGCAUGGAGCACAAACCAAACAUUGCUCCUGAUGUGAACAGAUCAGAAGAUAAUCACUAUUAUCAGAUAUAAGGACAAAACAAUGUGUGAAGCUGGAAUAAAUCAAAUCAAGAAACAAAGCAAUGACACAAGAACAAAUACUCAAAUGACACUAACAACAGCAGUACAAUGAAAGACAAUCAUUUUAAUAUCCAGCUCUAUUUAUAUUAGGCUAAUAAACAAUACGUUUUAUUUUUGUACAUAUUUACAUGGGAAGAUAAUGUUUGAGAAUUCAAAUGUUGUGUAAUUCUGUGUAACACUCAAGAAAUUAAAAAUAAAAAUGUUUCUUUCUUUUUUUAA